GAUGUGUUGGGGUGUUUGAAUGAGGCAGAGAGAGGGUGGAAAUAGAUGUGUUGGGGUGUUUGAAUGAAGCAGAGAGGGGUGGAAUUAGAUGUGUUGGGGUGUUUGAAUGAAGCAGAGAGGGGUGGAAAUAGAUGUGUUGGGGUGUUUAAAUGAUGCAGAGAGAGGGUGAAAAUAGAUGUGUUGGGGUGUUUGAAUGAGGCAGAGAGAGGGUGAAAUUAGAUGUGUUGGGGUGUUUGAAUGAAGCAGAGAGGGGGUGGAAAUAGAUGUACUGGGGUUUUUGAAUGAAGCAGAGAGAGGGUGGAAAUAGAUGUGCUGGGGUGUUUGAAUAAAGCAGAGAGAAGGUGAAAUUAGAUGUGCUGGGGUGUUUGAAUGAAGCAGAGAGAGGGUGAAAUUAGAUGUGCUGGGGUGUUUGAAUGAGGCAGCAGACAGGGGGAAAAUGAUGGGGUAAAAUGAUGUGUUGGGGUGUUUGAAUGAGGCAGCAGACAGGGGGUAAAUGAUG
ensembl:lncRNA